UAGGGAAUCUUCGGCAAUGGGGGGAACCCUGACCGAGCAACGCCGCGUGAGUGAAGAAGGUUUUCGGAUCGUAAAGCUCUGUUGUUAAGGAAGAACGAGUGUGAGAAUGGAAAGUUCAUACUGUGACGGUACUUAACCAGAAAGGGACGGCUAACUACGUGCCAGCAGCCGCGGUAAUACGUAGGUGGCAAGCGUUGUCCGGAUUUAUUGGGCGUAAAGCGAGCGCAGGCGGUCAAUUAAGUCUGAUGUGAAAGCCCCCGGCUCAACCGGGGAGGGUCAUUGGAAACUGGUUGACUUGAGUGCAGAAGAGGAGAGUGGAAUUCCAUGUGUAGCGGUGAAAUGCGUAGAUAUAUGGAGGAACACCAGUGGCGAAGGCGACUCUCUGGUCAGUAACUGACGCUGAGGCUCGAAAGCGUGGGUAGCAAACAGG
rnacentral:rRNA from 1 species